GGGGGCGAUCUGGGUUCGACAGUAUUGAUGUAGCCCGGGCUGCAGGUGGAGCUGAGUAACUCCAUAAAGGCUCAAACAACGAAACGCAAACAACAAUUUUGCGCUCGCGGCUUAACACUUAAGUCGCCGUUCGUUUCUCUCUUUCCUGCGGGGGGAAAACGGGCGUCAUCCAGCAGGAUGGUACCCAACGCAACGCUUCCGGGCGUUCGGGUGCGAGACCACAGGGGAGGCCGACGGGAAACGGUUUUGUCCGUUUUUGACGUUCCCGGUCGUAUGAAAAGCGGAACAAACCUGUAGAUGCCCUGGUGGAUUCAGUAUUGGACGGGGGUUCGAUUCCCCCCGCCUCCACCA
rnacentral:tmRNA from 1 species